rnacentral:lncRNA from 1 species
UCAUGUUACCGACUGUUUAUCCAAAGAUUGUGGAACAAGUGUAUCGGCUGUGGAUUAACAGUGUUUCAAAAGCUUGUUAGGCGACCUCGUAAAUUCGCCGUGUUCCGUGUAGGAACUUAAUUAGACGUUUUUCCCUCUGUUUUAUGGUUAAGUUAGACAUUAAACUGGCGCCUGUUCGCUGCUCGUGAUUGCGUAUGCUUAAUAGGAUCGUUAGAAGUGAAUGUUGCUGCUCGGAAUACGUUUUACCCGGCAGGAUCUUUCAACGUAUUAAAUAUCGCGAUAAGUUGCGUUAGAUUUUCGCUAGCACCGGAGAUAUUACACCGUGCCUUUUCGUUUUCAUAACCGGAAACUAUAUACAUGUUUUAUCGAAACAUAAAUUGUUUGAUCAAUACAUAUAUGUAAUAUGCGACUAUAAUACUGUGUACAAUUAAGGAUAUAAGAAAUUUUGCAAUCGAAGAUGUAAGAAGUGAGAAAAUCGUAUUAAUUUAAGGAAUUCUAAUUUGAAAUACACGGUUUGUAUUCGCGUACCAAUGAGUGUGUUUCCCCCUCUCCAUCGAAUCCUUCGCAAUUAUUUACGAUAGACGUCAGUAUACAUGGGAUCGUCCUCGCGAUAUAGUAGAUCGACGGAUUGUUGCUGUAAAUAAGGAAAGUGUAGUGGUAGGACGUUUUACCGUGUAAUAGGACGCCAUUACUUUCGAUUAUCGAAAUCGUUCGGAUAGUAUCGAUUCUUUUGCGAGAGUGAUACCGGGUAUACUCGUUUGGAACAGUAAACGUUAGUUUUUUAAAAUGUACGGGUGUGGCAGCGCGAGAACAAUGUGGUUGUAGGAAAAUUAGAAUUUUUUAUAAUUACCGUCCUUUAUUAAAUUGUAUUUUAUUCGCGUAUAACGUGAUUAUAGAGUCAGUGCGCGUUAGAAUAUAAAAUUUGCUUAGAAUAUACAAAAACAUGAAGUCAAAGAUAUUACGCUGUUCCAGUUUCCCGAUACAAGGCCGUUUUUGUUUGCGUUUCUGUUUCUAAUUGAAAGUGGUUGUAUUUUGAACACGAUAUCGCGGUCGCGUUAACUUUUUUUCGUCUUAUAAUGUGUGUUGCUAUUCGAGUAAGUGAAAAUUACCACGACCAAGAAUAUUCUCGACGAUUUGGGCGACAAUAAAAAUGCAUCUUUGGGUAUGAUACAACAAAUGUUGAACCGGAAGUGAUACCAGGAAAUUCCGGAUAUUCAACGAUCGCUUCUUCCGCUAUUAAAAGGAAAGUUUUAUGCGUGAUCCUGCGUAAGUUCACAGACAGGAAAGCGUAUAAACGCGACAAGAACAGCGCCGAGCGUUUAUACAGGAGAAACUACAGCGCCCUCCAAAACAAAGGCCGUUAUGAGAUACCGGUAUACCGGCCGAUCCAGACACAGGCAGCUUCUGUUUUCGGCAAUGAGGAUGUCAGACAAGUUACGACACGGCCAGCAGGUGUUACGACUGGACAGCCAGUUCAGGAGGCCCAGUUACAUUGCUACCAUCGCGGGAGGACGCGUGACGACGAUCGAAUCAAGAAGAAACGUCGCUGUUAUCUUUCUAGAAGCAUGAUUGCAAUUUUUAGCAAUUUUAUUUACUUCGGUCGAAGUUGUUCUACUAUUUGGACAGUUGGAAUAGUAAAUCGAAACUCGAACAGUGCCAGGGUGUACGGAGGCUCGCGACUACCAAGUGCAUUCUGAUACGCGAGGGAAGGCGGAGGAGGCGGCGGAAUGGCUAGGAUCUGCGGUCUGCUACAUCUAUUUAUAGCGUACGCCAUGCUAAUGCAUGUGCGCCUAUGCACCACGCUAACACCACGUCCCAAGCAUAACGGGCUUUUACAUGCUGCACUGGAUAUUCCACGUGGACUCCCCUCCUACGUCGCAGCGCUGCCCCUUUCUCCAAGGAUCGCCUGUUUCUCGUGGGCUCCGCCGCCGUUGUCCGUGGAGGUCUCAUCCCGGCCAUACACGCGUGCGAACGCACGUGCGCCUGUCUCGAAGAGGAACGCACCCAGAGAGCCCGCGUUCUUCGAGAUUUAUGCACGGGCGCAGGUCCCCCUGUGUAAAAGACGAGUUCGCGCGCGCGUAGGCUUUUCCGGUCACGCUGCGGUCAACCUGACUCUUAAAAUGCUGUUGAACUCGAUUUUUAUUGAUCCUCUUCACUUCGUCUAGUUUCAAGAAUUCUUUUACACGUGGCGAAAAAGAGCUCUGCCUGAGAGACCUCCUGCGCGAUAAUUUACCAAAUAAUUGUAUUUUUGUGGAUCGGGUGAGUGACAGGUCGUAGAUGACGAAGAUUGCUAUGGUCCUAGGCGUUUCUUUUUAUUUUACAUCGAAUAGUAGAAGUAGGAUAGACGUAGAAUAGGUAUGGAAUUUCAGUUGAUCUAUCGCUAAACCUGUUACAAUGACAACUUAUUCGCGCCACUUGUAACUUGUGACUUGUACAAUUUUGGUGGUAAUAUCGAUCCAAAUAAGUUCGGUAAGAGGGUCCAGGUGAGUAAUGAUUUAUCAAGUAGAUUUCCGGAGUAGUAUCUCCAAAGAUCUCUGAAGAAUAUUACAGCUUUUGGUAUAUAAUGUCGUGGACAAUUGUUUGAAUCAAUGCAAUGUAUUUACAUGCCUAUUGUACGCUUGGUGAAAAUCAAAGGAGGAUUUCAUAGAACACUUGCUAAGAAUUACAUGAAUAAAGGACGAAUUAAUUGACUAAA